GGAGGAGGAGGAUGAACAUUGUGUGAAGGAGGACUGUGAGGCGGAGGAGGAUGAUGAACAUAGAAAAAGUUGUUAGGAAUUUAAAUAAAGAAGCGAACGACAGACUCUCUCUGUCUCUCUUUCUCUACAUAAUUAGCUCUCUCCGCCCCUUCCUCUCUGGUUUUGACUAGAUGGUAUACAGCUACAGUCAGAUUUAACUUUUCGUAGCAGGUCAGGAAAACUUACACAGAAGGUUAGGACAUUUAUUUAGCAGGUCAGGAGAACUUACACAGAAGGUUAGGACAUUUAUUUAGCAGGUCAGGAAAACUUACACAGCAGGUUAGGACAUUAUUUAGCAGGUCAGGAGAACUUACACAGAAGGUUAGGACAUUAUUUAGCAGGUCAGGAGAACUUACACAGCAGGUUAGUACAUUUAUUUAGCAGGUCAGGAGAACUUACACAGAAGGUUAGGACAUUAUUUAGCAGGUCAGGAGAACUUACACAGCAGGUUAGUACAUUUAUUUAGCAGGUCAGGAGAACUUACACAGAAGGUUAGGACAUUAUUUAGCAGGUCAGGAGAACUUACACAGCAGGUUAGUACAUUUAUUUAGCAGGUCAGGAGAACUUACACAGAAGGUUAGGACAUUAUUUAGCAGGUCAGGAGAACUUACACAGCAGGUUAGUACAUUUAUUUAGCAGGUCAGGAGAACUUACACAGAAGGUUAGGACAUUAUUUAGCAGGUCAGGAGAACUUACACAGCAGGUUAGUACAUUUAUUUAGCAGGUCAGGAGAACUUACACAGAAGGUUAGGACAUUUAUUUAGCAGGUUAGGAAAACUUACACAGAAGGUUAGGACAUUUAUUUAGCAGGUCAGGAAAAGGGUUAGGGUUAGCUAAAAUGCAAAAAAUGCUCCCCGACAUGCAACUUUUUGACAUAACCCUCCUAUGCAUCUCCCCCUC